rnacentral:piRNA from 1 species
UCUAUUAAUAGAUACCAGUUUUUUCCCCCUA